UUCGAUUAAGCCAUGCGAGUCGAGAGUCUUAGGGACUCGGCGUACCGCUCAGUAACACGUGGGUAACCUGCCCUAUGCUGGGGAAUAACCUCGGGAAACUGAGAAUAAUGCCCCAUAGUCCACCAUGCCUGGAACGGUUGGUGGAUCAAAGCUCCGGCGGCAUAGGAUGGGCCUGCGGCGUAUCAGGUUGUAGGGGGUGUAAUGUACCCUCUAGCCAUCAACGCGUACGGGUGUUGGGAGACAUAGCCCGGAGAUGGAUUCUGAGACACGAAUCCAGACCCUACGGGGUGCAGCAGGCGCGAAAACUUGGCAAUGCGAGCAAUCGUGACCAGGGAACUCCAAGUGGCUGGGGUAAGACCCAGUCUUUUCUUGACUCUUCAAAGGUCUUGGAAUAAGGGGUGGGUAAGGACGGUGCCAGCCGCCGCGGUAAUACCGGCGCCUCAAGUGGUAGUCGAUUUUAUUGGGCCUAAAACGUCCGUAGCCUGUUUGGUACAUUCGUGGGUAAAUCAACCAGCUCAACUGAUUGAAUUCUGCGAGCACGGCCAGACUUGGGACCGGGAGAGGUGUGGGGUACGCUCAGGGUAGGGGUAAAAUCCUGUCAUCCUGAGCGGACCACCUGUUGCGAAGGCGCCACACUAGAACGGAUCCGACGGUCAGGGACGAAGCCUAGGGGCACGAACCGGAUUAGAUACCCGGGUAGUCCUAGGUGUAAACGCUGUGGACUUGGUGUUGGGGAUUCUCCGAGGAUUCUCAGUGCCGAAGCGAAGGUGAUAAGUCCACUGCCUGGGGAGUACGGUCGCAAGGCUGAAACUUAAAGGAAUUGGCGGGGGAGCACCGCAACCUGAGGAUUGUGCG
rnacentral:rRNA from 1 species